rnacentral:rRNA from 2 species
UAACCUCGGGAAAUCGUGGCUAAUACCGGAUACGAGCACUCAUCGCAUGGUGGGUGCUGGAAAGAUUUAUCGGUGGGGGAUGGACUCGCGGCCUAUCAGUUUGUUGGUGAGGUGAUGGCUCACCAAGACGAUGACGGGUAGCCGGCCUGAGAGGGCGACCGGCCACACUGGGACUGAGACACGGCCCAGACUCCUACGGGAGGCAGCAGUGGGGAAUAUUGCACAAUGGGCGAAAGCCUGAUGCAGCGACGCCGCGUGGGGGAUGACGGCCUUCGGGUUGUAAACCCCUUUCAGUAGGGAAGAAGCGAGAGUGACGGUACCUGCAGAAGAAGCGCCGGCUAACUACGUGCCAGCAGCCGCGGUAAUACGUAGGGCGCAAGCGUUGUCCGGAAUUAUUGGGCGUAAAGAGCUUGUAGGUGGCUUGUCGCGUCUGCCGUGAAAACCCGAGGCUCAACCUCGGGCGUGCGGUGGGUACGGGCAGGCUAGAGUGUGGUAGGGGAGACUGGAACUCCUGGUGUAGCGGUGAAAUGCGCAGAUAUCAGGAAGAAC